rnacentral:rRNA from 1 species
AGUGAACGCUGGCGGUAGGCCUAACACAUGCAAGUCGAACGGCAGCACAGUAAGAGCUUGCUCUUACGGGUGGCGAGUGGCGGACGGGUGAGGAAUACAUCGGAAUCUACUUUUUCGUGGGGGAUAACGUAGGGAAACUUACGCUAAUACCGCAUACGACCUACGGGUGAAAGCAGGGGAUCUUCGGACCUUGCGCGAUUGAAUGAGCCGAUGUCGGAUUAGCUAGUUGGCGGGGUAAAGGCCCACCAAGGCGACGAUCCGUAGCUGGUCUGAGAGGAUGAUCAGCCACACUGGAACUGAGACACGGUCCAGACUCCUACGGGGGGCAGCAGUGGGGAAUAUUGGACAAUGGGCGCAAGCCUGAUCCGGCCAUACCGCGUGGGUGAAGAAGGCCUUCGGGUUGUAAAGCCCUUUUGUUGGGAAAGAAAAGCAGCAGGUUAAUACCCCGCUGUUCUGACGGUACCCAAAGAAUAAGCACCGGCUAACUUCGUG